GGCGGCGCGCCUAACACAUGCAAGUCGAACGGNGACAUUCUUAGCUUGCUUUGAAUGUCUUAGUGGCGGACGGGUGAGUAACACGUGAGCAACCUGCCUUUCAGAGGGGGAUAACGUUCGGAAACGAACGCUAAUACCGCAUAAUGUAUACGGACGGCAUCGUCUGUAUACCAAAGGAGCAAUCCGCUGAAAGAUGGGCCCGCGUACUAUUAGCUAGUUGGUGAGGUAACGGCUCACCAAGGCGACGAUAGUUAUCCGGCCUAAGAGGGUGAACGGACACAUUGGGACUGAGAUACGGUCCAGACUCCUACGGGAGGCAGCAGUGGGGAAUAUUGGGCAAUGGGGGAAACCCUGACCCAGCGACGCCGCGUGAGGGAAGAAGGUCUUCGGAUUGUAAACCUUUGUUAACAGGGACGAAACAAAUGACGGUACCUGAAUAGAAAGCCACGGCUAACUACGUG
rnacentral:rRNA from 1 species